CACAUGCAAGUCGAGCGGAUGACAGGAGCUUGCUCCUGAAUUCAGCGGCGGACGGGUGAGUAAUGCCUAGGAAUCUUCCUGGUAGUGGGGGACAACGUCUCGAAAGGGACGCUAAUACCGCAUACGUCCUACGGGAGAAAGCAGGGGACCUUCGGGCCUUGCGCUAUCAGAUGAGCCUAGGUCGGAUUAGCUAGUUGGUGAGGUAAUGGCUCACCAAGGCGACGAUCCGUAACUGGUCUGAGAGGAUGAUCAGUCACACUGGAACUGAGACACGGUCCAGACUCCUACGGGAGGCAGCAGUGGGGAAUAUUGGACAAUGGGCGAAAGCCUGAUCCAGCCAUGCCGCGUGUGUGAAGAAGGUCUUCGGAUUGUAAAGCUCUUUAAGUUGGGAGGAAGGGCAUUAACCUAAUAC
rnacentral:rRNA from 1 species